rnacentral:rRNA from 1 species
AGUGAACGCUGGCGGUAGGCCUAACACAUGCAAGUCGAACGGCAGCACAGUAUGAUUUUGCUCUUACGGGUGGCGAGUGGCGGACGGGUGAGGAGUACAUCGGAAUCUACUCUUUCGUGGGUGACAACGUAGGGAAACUUACGCUAAUACCGCAUACGACCUACGGGUGAAAGCAGGGGAUCUUCGGACCUCGCGCGUCUGAUUGUGCCGAUGUCCGAUUAGCUAGUUGGCGGGGUAAAGGCCCACCAAGGCGACGAUCCGUAGCUGGUCUGAGAGGAUGAUCAGCCACACUGGAACUGAGACACGGUCCAGACUCCUACGGGAGGCAGCAGUGGGGAAUAUUGGGCAAUGGGCGCAAGCCUGAUCCAGCCAUGCCGCGUGAGUGAAGAAGGCCUUCGGAUUGUAAAGCCCUUUUGUUAGGAAAGAAAAACAGCAGGUUAAUACCCCGCUGUUCUGACGGUACCCAAAGAGUAAGCACCGGCUAACUUCGUG